CCUACGGGAGGCAGCAGUGGGGAAUAUUGGGCAAUGGGCGCAAGCCUGACCCAGCAACGCCGCGUGAAGGACGAUGGCUUUCGGGUUGUAAACUUCUUUUGUCAGGGACGAAUCCAGUGACGGUACCUCACGCAUAAGCCACGGCUAACUACGUGCCAGCCUCCGCGGUAAUACGUCGGUGGCAAGCGUUAUCCGAAUUUCCUGGGUGUAAAGGGCUUGUAGGCGUGACUGCACGUCAGAUGUGAAAACCACGGGCUCAACGUGUGCCCUGCAUUUGACACUGUAGUUCUUGAGUACUGGGGAGGCAGACGGAAGGCGUGGUGUAGCGGUGAAAUGCGUAGAUAUUAGGAGGAACACCAGUGGCGAAGGCGGUCUGCGAGACAGCAACUGACGCUGAGGCGCUAAAGCGUGGGGAGCAAACAGGAUUAGAUACCCCAGUAGUC
rnacentral:rRNA from 1 species